rnacentral:rRNA from 1 species
UACGUAGGGUCCGAGCGUUGUCCGGAGUUACUGGGCGUAAAGCGCGCGCAGGCGGCCGUGCAAGCAUGGCGUGAAAGCCCCCGGCUCAACCGGGGAGAGUCGUCGUGGACUGCAUGGCUUGAGGGCGGCAGGGGUUGGUGGAAUUCCCGGUGUAGUGGUGAAAUGCGUAGAGAUCGGGAGGAACACCCGUGGCGAAGGCGGCCAACUGGGCCGGCCCUGACGCUGAGGCGCGAAGGCGUGGGGAGCGAACGGG